UACAGAGGGUGCAAGCGUUAAUCGGAAUUACUGGGCGUAAAGCGUGCGUAGACGGUUAUGUAAGUCAGAUGUGAAAGCCCCGGGCUCAACCUGGGAAUUGCAUUUGAGACUGCAUAGCUAGGGUGCGGAAGAGGGAAGCGGAAUUUCCGGUGUAGCGGUGAAAUGCGUAGAUAUCGGAAGGAACACCAGUGGCGAAAAGCGGCUUCCUGGUCCAGCACCGACGUCAGGCACGAAAGCGUGGGGAGCAAACAGGGA
rnacentral:rRNA from 1 species